rnacentral:misc_RNA from 1 species
AAGUCGUAACAAGGUUUCCGUAGGUGAACCUGCGGAAGGAUCAUUAACACGUAUCCAAACGUUAAACCCCCCUGUGAACCUUCAGUGUACUCGUACGUCCGUUAGAAAAAGCAGCAAUCCCUGGUAAAUCAUCGCCGAACAGUUUUCGAUUCAGGGACGUCUGCAAGGAGCGUGCAUGUUGUGCGAAGCAAGUGGCCUGGCAUCCCCAAGCAGUUAGUGUCUGAAAGUGUCAUUAACUGUGUAAGGAUGACGCAGUCACGAUCGUUGGAACCGGGUCACUGGGCGCAAGCCCCCCUAUAACAAACGCUGCCAAUCGCGGCCGCGAUAAUACGCAGUCGACAAAAAACCGAACAACUGUUAACAAUGGAUAUCUUGGUUCUC